rnacentral:rRNA from 1 species
UUUAAUUGAAGAGUUUGAUCAUGGCUCAGAUUGAACGCUGGCGGCAGGCCUAACACAUGCAAGUCGAGCGGUAACAGAUUGAUAGCU